UACGUAGGGGGCAAGCGUUGUCCGGAUUUAUUGGGCGUAAAGAGCGUGUAGGCGGCCAGACAGGUCCGUUGUGAAAACUCGAGGCUCAACCUCGAGACGCCGAUGGAAACCGUCUGGCUAGAGUCCGGAAGAGGAGAGUGGAAUUCCUGGUGUAGCGGUGAAGUGCGCAGAUAUCAGGAAGAACACCCGUGGCUAAGGCGGCUCUCUAGUACGGUACUGACGCUGAGACGCGAAAGCGUGGGGAGCGAACAGG
rnacentral:rRNA from 1 species